GAUCCGAUGGCGUAACCGAUAGCGCGCUUGUUUCCUGACGAGGGGUUGUGGGUUCGACUCCCACUCGGGUCC